GACACAGAGUUGAGCUGGAGCCAGGCCGGAGCCAUUGGGUGGGACCUCCAGCUGCAUUGUCACCUACCAGCUGAAGCCCACAUCAGUGCCCCCUCACCGCAACUCUCUU